rnacentral:tRNA from 4 species
GCCCGGGUGGCGGAACUGGUAGACGCAAGAGACUUAAAAUCUCUCGAAGUUGAUCUUCGUGUCGGUUCGACUCCGACCCCGGGCACCA